GAUGAACGCUAGCGAUAGGCUUAACACAUGCAAGUCGAGGGGCAGCAUGAUCUUAGCUUGCUAAGGUCGAUGGCGACCGGCGCACGGGUGCGUAACGCGUAUGCAACUUGCCUUACAGAGGGGGAUAACCCGUUGAAAGACGGACUAAAACCGCAUACACUUGUAUUAUUGCAUGAUAUUACAAGGAAAUAUUUAUAGCUGUAAGAUAGGCAUGCGUCCCAUUAGCUGGUUGGUGAGGUAACGGCUCACCAAGGCGACGAUGGGUAGGGGAACUGAGAGGUUUAUCCCCCACACUGGUACUGAGACACGGACCAGACUCCUACGGGAGGCAGCAGUGAGGAAUAUUGGUCAAUGGGCGAGAGCCUGAACCAGCCAAGUCGCGUGAAGGAAGACAGUCCUAAGGAUUGUAAACUUCUUUUAUACGGGAAU
rnacentral:rRNA from 1 species